rnacentral:rRNA from 1 species
GAUGAACGCUGGCGGCGUGCUUAACACAUGCAAGUCGAACGAUGAAGCCCAGCUUGCUGGGUGGAUUAGUGGCGAACGGGUGAGUAACACGUGAGUAACCUGCCCUUAACUCUGGGAUAAGCCUGGCAAACUGGGUCUAAUACCGGAUAGGAGCGUCCACCGCAUGGUGGGUGUUGGAAAGAUUUAUCGGUUUUGGAUGGACUCGCGGCCUAUCAGCUUGUUGGUGAGGUAAUGGCUCACCAAGGCGACGACGGGUAGCCGGCCUGAGAGGGUGACCGGCCACACUGGGACUGAGACACGGCCCAGACUCCUACGGGAGGCAGCAGUGGGGAAUAUUGCACAAUGGGCGCAAGCCUGAUGCAGCGACGCCGCGUGAGGGAUGACGGCCUUCGGGUUGUAAACCUCUUUCAGUAGGGAAGAAGCGAAAGUGACGGUACCUGCAGAAGAAGCACCGGCUAACUACGUG